UCCUAGAAUACAACGAAGUUUUUAAUUUCAUUUGAUUAGCAAAAUCAAAGAACUCCCUAACUCUUAUUCUAAUUUUUGAAAUUGAAUUGUUUGUAAUGUAAUUUGUGAGCACCAUAGUCCCUCUAUUGAUAUACAUGUACGGGCUCAAUUUUACCCAGGCCUUGAACUCAAAACACAAAAUAAUAAACAAAAUUAAAACAAAAUCCAUGGCCCAAAUAAAAACACAACAGAGGCCCAAAAUGGCAAAACCCUAGCCCAAUUCAGCACCACGACCAGCAGCCUCAGUGUGCCGUACAUCUCCUCGUGCUUUCACAGCGCACUCGACGCCCGAAGCACGACCGGUUUUGCACCAAAAUGGUCUGGGUUAUCCUUCCAACGCCCGUUGACCUUGCCCAAAACCUGCAAAUGUGACAAAAUGAUAGAAGAAAGCAGGGACAGAAGAGCAGUAGAAUACAGUAAAAAAAGAAAAAAAACAACGUAAUCGGCUAUAAAAGCCGAACCUAAUGUAAUUCAAAGGAGGUUUUUUUUUUCCUCUGGAAUAUUUAUGAACAAGAAAACAGAAAUCAAAAGGUUUAGAUUUAUCCAUUUACACUCCUUUUUAAUCUUUUUUUUUUGUGUUCAUUAUUUACAUGCAAAAGUAGAAACGGAAAGAAAAGGGGAUCAUCGGACAAAAGCAAAUCUAAAAAUCUAAGAAAAUGGGCUGAUUCCAAUUCUUUUUCUAUUCGUUUUUUUAUUUUUUAUUUUUAUUUUUAUUUUUUUCUGUUGUUUUCAUUACUCUUUUCAAACAAAAAAACUAGGAAAAGAACGAAAAACAAAAGGGAGAGUACCUUCCGGUUUCGAAAGCCCGUCGCCGGAGAUCUUCUCGGUGUUGGAAUCGGACCGAAGAGGGUACGAAAAAUCCCUCCUUUUUUCGGCUUAUUGGGUCUAAAGGACAUUUUUUUAAGGAUCGAGAAUGGGGCUUUAAAACCCGACUUUUGAGUGACUCCGGCCACCGUCCACGGCGAGGCCGGUGACGGUCUCUCGCCGGAUUCUGGGCAGCUUUCGGAGAAGGCAGAGAGGAGGAGGGAGAGCCUUCUGAAAUUUUU
rnacentral:lncRNA from 1 species